rnacentral:rRNA from 1 species
CCUACGUGAGGCUGCAGUGAGGAAUAUUGGUCAAUGGGCUUACGCCUGAACCAGCCAAGUCGCGUGAGGGAAGACUGCCCUAUGGGUUGUAAACCUCUUUUGUCAGGGAGCAACGCCUGCUACGUGUAGCCGGACUGAGAGUACCUGAAGAAAAAGCAUCGGCUAACUCCGUGCCAGCCGCCGCGGUAAUACGGAGGAUGCGAGCGUUAUCCGGAUUUAUUGGGUUUAAAGGGUGCGUAGGCGGAAUGCCAAGUCAGCGGUAAAAUCGCGGGGCUCAACCUCGCUCCGCCGUUGAAACUGGCGUUCUUGAGUGGGCGAGAAGUAUGCGGAAUGCGUGGUGUAGCGGUGAAAUGCAUAGAGAUCACGCAGAACUCCGAUUGCGAAGGCAGCAUACCGGCGCCCAACUGACGCUGAAGCACGAAAGCGUGGGUAUCGAACAGGAUUAGAUACCCCUGUAGUC